rnacentral:rRNA from 1 species
AGCGAACGCUGGCGGCAGGCCUAACACAUGCAAGUCGAACGAACCCUUCGGCGUUAGUGGCGGCCGGGUGAGUAACACCUGGGACCGUGCCUUUAGGCUCGGAAUACCUCAGGGAAACUGGUGCUAAUACCGACUGUGCCCUUCGGGGGAAAAAUUUAUCGCCUUUAGAGCGGCCCGCGUCUGAUUAGCUGGUUGGUGAGGUAGUGGCGCACCCAGGCUACGAUCAGUAGCUGGUCUGCUAGGAUGACCAGCCUCAGUAGGACUGAUACACGGCCCAAGCUCCUACGGGCGGUAGGAGUGGGGAAUCUUGCGCAAUGGGCUAAAACCUGACGCAGCCAUGCCGCGUGGAUGAUGAAGGUCUUUGGAUUGAAAAAUCCUGUCACCGGUGAAGAUAAUGACUGGUGCCGGAGAAGAAGCCCCGGCUAACUUCGUGCCAGCAGCCGCGGUAAAAC